GCCGGGCGCAAUAGCGGGUCCCUGUAGCCCUAGCUACUCGGGAGCCUGAGGUGGGAGGAUCGCUUGAGCCCAGGAGUUCUGGGCUGUAGUGCGCCAUGCCAAUUGGGUGUCCGCACUAAGUUCGGCAUCAAUAUGGUGACCUCUUGGGAGUGGGGGACCACCAGGUUGCCUAAGGAGGGGUGAACCGGCCCAGGUCGGAAACAGAGCAGGUACUGAUGGGAAUGCUGAUCAGUAGUGGGAUCACACCUGUGAAUAGCCACUGCACUCCAGCCUGGACAACAUAGCUAGACCCUGUCUCUA
ensembl:misc_RNA Metazoa_SRP Metazoan signal recognition particle RNA